rnacentral:lncRNA from 1 species
UUCCAGGGUCUUGCUUCUGACUGUUAUAACUAAGAGAGAAGUUGGUGCCCCCAGAGCCAAAUCAGUCUCAGAAUAUUGGGAUACGUUGCUCCCAGCAUAGUUUUAUUAGCCAGUUAAAGGGAUAGGCUGAAGCAUACUCACUGUAUAAACAGAGGUUGUGCAAUGGCCCACGUGACAUAUAUGUUUAUUAUGUUAACAAGUGGGAAUCGUGCCAUUUCCAUGAUGCCCCGACAAGACUGUACAAGCCCUAGAUAAAGCUAGGUCAAGGACUUUGCAUAGAGAGGCGACCUCUCCAUCUAAGUGCUCUUUUUCUUCUAAGUUGUGA